UACGGAGGGAGCUAGCGUUGUUCGGAAAUACUGGGCGUAAAGCGCACGUAGGCGGCGCAGCAAGUCAGGGGUGAAAUCCCAGGGCUCAACCCUGGAACUGCCUUUGAUACUGACGGUCUGGAGAUCGGGAGAGGUUGGUGGAAUUCCGAGUGUAGAGGUGAAAUUCGUAGAUAUUCGGAGGAACACCAGAAGCGAAGGCGGCCAAAUGGCCCGAUACUGACGCUGAGGCGCGAAAGCGUGGGGAGCAAACAGG
rnacentral:rRNA from 1 species